rnacentral:rRNA from 1 species
GAUUCCCCUAGNAACUGCGAGUGAAGCGGGAAAAGCUCAAAUUUAAAAUCUGGCGGUCUCCGGCCGUCCGAGUUGUAAUCUAGAGAAGUGUUAUCCGCGCUGGACCGUGUACAAGUCUCCUGGAAUGGAGCAUCAUAGAGGGUGAGAAUCCCGUCUUUGACACGGACUACCAGGGCUUUGUGAUGCGCUCUCAAAGAGUCGAGUUGUUUGGGAUUGCAGCUCAAAAUGGGUGGUAAAUUCCAUCUAAAGCAAAUAUUGGCGAGAGACCGAUAGCGAACAAGUACCGUGAGGGAAAGAUGAAAAGAACUUUGGAAAGAGAGUUAAACAGUACGUGAAAUUGCUGAAAGGGAAACGCUUGAAGUCAGUCGCGUUGGCCGGGGAUCAACCUUGCUUUUGCUGGGCGUACUUUCCGGUCGACGGGUCAGCAUCAAUUUUGAUCGUUGGAUAAAGUCCAGGGGAAUGUGGCAUCUUCGGAUGUGUUAUAGCCCUUGGUCGCAUACAACGGUGGGAUUGAGGAACUCAGCACGCCGCAAGGCCGGGUACUUGUACCACGUUCGUGCUUAGGAUGCUGGCAUAAUGGCUUUAAUCGACCCGUCUUGAAACACGGACCAAGGAGUCUAACAUGCCUGCGAGUGUUUGGGUGGAAAACUCGGACGCGUAAUGAAAGUGAAAAGUUGAGAUCCCUGUCGUGGGAGCAUCGACGCCCGGACCAGACCUUUUGUGACGGAUCCGCGGUAGAGCAUGUAUGUUGGGACCCGAAGAUGGUGAACUAUGCCUGAAUAGGGUGAAGCCAGAGGAAACUCUGGUGGAGGCUCGUAGCGAUUCUGACGUGCAAAUCGAUCGUCAAAUUUGGGUAUAGGGGCGAAAGACUAAUCGAACCAUCU